GUUAUAUGGUCUGAAAAGUCUUCUUUGUAGGACAAUCUUUUUCACUCAACACACCUCUUAGUGUUUGUUUCCUAUGCAUUUUGAUAGUAAUGGAUCUUUUAAUAGCAUGUAUCAUAUGUUCCUGCUUGGAAUUUCUUUGUUGAAUCGUAUUCUUCCCUCUCUGCAGUGAAUUAGAUCCAAUAAGUACUUGUAUAUUAUCUUGAUUUGGUGGGAAUGCAGUUGGCCGCUCAUGACAUAAGAGGUGUGUGUGCAAUUGAAGAUUGUUAGCUGAUUCCUCAUGAGUCACGGCGAUCAGCAUAAGAGAGCCUUAAAAUUUAUAUUCAAUAUUGUUAAUUGUUACAUCCCUCUUUCAUAGUCCUCAAUCAGCAGCAUUGCUCCGCACCAGCUACACCUAAGAUUUAACUGCUUGACCAGAGUACACGGUUACCACAACAUCAUGCAUAUGUACAAACAAAUUUAUGUUGAUUGUUGUCCCACAGCGGUUUUGUUAUAUGGUCUGAAAAGUCUUCUUUGUAGGACAAUCUUUUUCACUCAACACACCUCUUAGUGUUUGUUUCCUAUGCAUUUUGAUAGUAAUGGAUCUUUUAAUAGCAUGUAUCAUAUGUUCCUGCUUCAUGUCAUGUUCUUUGCAGAACAAUGCCUGUCACUUUUAUACCUCUUAAAUGUUUCUUUCCUUAUGCUUUUUAUCGAUAAUGGAUAUUACAGUAACAUUUAAGGUUUCCCCUGCAGUGAG
rnacentral:lncRNA from 1 species